rnacentral:rRNA from 1 species
CCUACGGGUGGCAGCAGUAGGGAAUUUUGCGCAAUGGGCGAAAGCCUGACGCAGCAACGCCGCGUGAUCGAGACGCCCUUCGGGGUGUAAAGAUCUGUCAGUGGGGACGAAACUUGACGGUACCCACAGAGGAAGCACCGGCUAACUCCGUGCCAGCAGCCGCGGUAAUAUGGGGGGUGCAAGCGUUGUCCGGAGUCAUUGGGCGUAAAGAGUUCGUAGGCGGGUUGUAAAGUCUGUUGUUAAGGUUAGAGGCUUAACUGUUGUAGGGCAGUUGAUACUUGCGAGGUAGAGUGCGGUAGAGGUAGGGGGAAUGCGGGGUGUAGAGGUGAAAUGCUGAGAUAACAGGAAGAAAGACGAGGGCGAAGGCAGUUUGCUGGACUGUAAUGGACGCUGAUGCCCGAAAGCGGGGGUAGAAAACAGGAUGAGAUACCCUUGUAGUC